AUUGAACGCUGGCGGCAUGCCUUACACAUGCAAGUCGAACGGUAACGCGGGGCAACCUGGCGACGAGUGGCGAACGGGUGAGUAAUGUAUCGGAACGUGCCCAGUUGUGGGGGAUAACUGCUCGAAAGAGCAGCUAAUACCGCAUACGACCUGAGGGUGAAAGCGGGGGAUCGCAAGACCUCGCGCAAUUGGAGCGGCCGAUAUCAGAUUAGGUAGUUGGUGGGGUAAAGGCCCACCAAGCCAACGAUCUGUAGCUGGUCUGAGAGGACGACCAGCCACACGGGAACUGAGACACGGCCCAGACUCCUACGGGAGGCAGCAGUGGGGAAUUUUGGACAAUGGACGCAAGUCUGAUCCAGCCAUGCCGCGUGCGGGAAGAAGGCCUUCGGGUUGUAAACCGCUUUUGUCAGGGAAGAAAAGGGCGACUCUAAUACAGUUGCCUCAUGACGGUACCUGAAGAAUAAGCACCGGCUAACUACGUGCCAGCCGCCGCAGUAACAC
rnacentral:rRNA from 1 species